GAGGCGGGCUGGACCUCUCGGGGUUACAGCCUUGCUGAAUUAUUCACCCUUGUCUUUUGCGUACUUCUUGUUUCCUUGGUGGGUUCGCCCACCACUAGGACAAACAUAAACCUUUUGUAAUUGCAAUCAGCGUCAGUAACAAAUUAAUAAUUACAACUUUCAACAACGGAUCUCUUGGUUCUGGCAUCGAUGAAGAACGCAGCGAAAUGCGAUAAGUAGUGUGAAUUGCAGAAUUCAGUGAAUCAUCGAAUCUUUGAACGCACAUUGCGCCCUUUGGUAUUCCAAAGGGCAUGCCUGUUCGAGCGUCAUUUGUACCCUCAAGCUUUGCUUGGUGUUGGGCGUCUUGUCUCUAGCUUUGCUGGAGACUCGCCUUAAAGUAAUUGGCAGCCGGCCUACUGGUUUCGGAGCGCAGCACAAGUCGCACUCUCUAUCAGCAAAGGUCUAGCAUCCAUUAAGCCUUUUUUUCAACUUUUGACCUCGGAUCAGGUAGGGAUACCCGCUGAACUUAAGCAUAUCAAUAAGCGGAGGAAA
rnacentral:rRNA from 1 species